GAUGAAGAACGCAGCGAAAUGCGAUAAGUAAUGUGAAUUGCAGAAUUCAGUGAAUCAUCGAAUCUUUGAACGCACGUUGCGCCCGCCAGUAUUCUGGCGGGCAUGCCUGUUCGAGCGUCAUUACAACCCUCAGGCCCCCGGGCCUGGCGUUGGGGAUCGGCGGAAGCCCCCUGCGGGCACAACGCCGUCCCCCAAAUACAGUGGCGGUCCCGCCGCAGCUUCCAUUGCGUAGUAGCUAACACCUCGCAACUGGAGAGCGGCGCGGCCACGCCGUAAAACACCCAACUUCUGAAUGUUGACCUCGAAUCAGGUAGGAAUACCCGCUGAACUUAAGCAUAUCAAUAAGCGGAGGA
rnacentral:misc_RNA from 1 species